ACGGCUCAGUAACACGUGGAUAACAUGCCCUUGGGUGGGGGAUAACCUCGGGAAACUGAGAAUAAUACCCCAUAGGUCUAGGAUGCUGGAAUGCUUCUAGGCCGAAAGCUCCGGCGCCCAAGGAUUGGUCUGCGGCCUAUCAGGUAGUAGUGGGUGUAACGGACCCACUAGCCUGUGACGGGUACGGGCCUUGGGAGAGGGAGCCCGGAGAUGGACUCUGAGACACGAGUCCAGGCCCUACGGGGCGCAGCAGUCGCGAAAACUUCGCAAUGGGGGAAAGCGCGACGAGGGGAGCCCGAGUGCCCUUCCUUUUGGGGGGGCUUUUCCGGAGUCUAAAAAGCUCCGGGAAUAAGGGCUGGGCAAGACGGGUGCCAGCCGCCGCGGUAAUACCCGCAGCUCGAGUGGUGGCCACUAUUAUUGAGCCUAAAGCGUCCGUAGCCGGACCCGUAAAUCCCUGGGUAAAUCCUGGCGCUCAAUGUCAGGAAUUCCGGGGAGACUGCGGGUCUUGGGACCGGGAGAGGCCGGAGGUACUCCCGGGGUAGGGGUAAAAUCCUGUAAUCCCGGGGGGACCACCUGUGGCGAAAGCGUCCGGCUUGAACGGCUCCGACGGUGAGGGACGAAGGCCAGGGGAGCAAACCGGAUUAGAUACCCGGGUAGUCCUGGCUGUAAACGCUGCCCGCUUGGUGUUGUCGGUCUCUCGGGGGCCGGCAGUGCCGGAGCGAAGGUGUUAAGCGGGCCGC
rnacentral:rRNA from 1 species